CUGGCCGGGCUGCUGUUUCAGUUGCUGGUGGCUGUGUGUUUCUUCUCCUACCUACGUGUGUCCCGAGACGAUGCCACUGGGUUCCCUAGGCCAGGGUACAUGGCAGUGGCACCUGUCACUGGGGCUCCCAAUGGGUCCUCCAGACAGGACACCACUCCCACCCGCCCCACCCUCCUGAUCCUGCUGUGGACGUGGCCUUUCCACAUCCCCGUGGCUCUGUCCCGCUCUUCAGAGAUGGUGCCUGGCACGGCCGACUGCCAAAUCACUGCCGACCGCAAGGUGUACCCAAAGGCAGAUGCGGUCAUUGUGCACCACUGGGAUAUCAUGUCGAAUCCUAAGUCAUGUCUCCCACCUUCCCCGAGGCCGCAGGGGCAGCGCUGAAUCUGGUUCAACUUAGAGCCACUUUCUAACUGCUGGCACCUGCAAGCCCUGGACGGAUACUUCAAUCUCACCAUGUCCUACCGCAGCGACUCCGACAUCUUCACGCUCUACGGCUGGCUGGAGCCACGGUCCGGCCAGCCUGCCCACCCACCACUCAACCUCUCGGCCAAGACCGAAUUGGUGGCCUGGGCGGUGUCCAACUGGAAGCCGGACUUGGCCAGGGUGCGCUACUACCAGAGCCUGCAGGCCCAUCUCAAGGUGGAUGUGUACGGGAAAUCCCACAAGCCCCUACCCAGGGGGACUAUGAUGGAGAUGCUGUCCCGGUACAAGUUCUAUCUGGCCUUCGAGAACUCCUUGCACCCCGACUACAUCACCGAGAAGCUGUGGAGGAACGCCCUGGGGACCUGGGCCGUGCCCGUGGUGCUGGGGCCCAGCAGAAGCAACUAUGAGAGGUUCCUGCCGCCCGAUGCCUUCAUCCACGUGGACGACUUCCAGAGCCCCGAGGACCUGACCCGAUACCUGCAGGAGCUGGACAAGGACCACGCCCGCUACCUGAGCUACUUCCACUGGCGGGAGACGCUGCGGCCUCGCUUCUCUAGCUGGGCACUGGAUUUCUGCAAGGCCUGCUGGAAACUGCAGGAGGAAUCCAGGUACCAGACGGUGCGCAGCAUAGCGGCUUGGUUCACCUGAGAGGCCGGUGUGGGGCCUGGGUUGCCGGGAACCUCAUCUGCCUGGGUCUUCACCUGCUGGAGUCCUUCAUGGCCAGCCCUCUCGCUUCCCUGGGAACUCACAUGCUGGACUUCACGGCUGUCAGGAGCCUCCCCUGCAGAAGCCUUGCCUGCUGGGGACCUCGCCUGUUGGGGACCUCACCUGCUAGGGACCUUGGCCGCUGGAGGCUGCACCUACUGAGGAUCUCGGCUGUUGGGGACUUUACCUGCUGGGACCUGCUCCCAGAUACCCUGCCACACUGAAUCUCACCUGCUAGGAGCUUCACCUGCUGGGGACCUCAUGCUGGAGGGCACUGGGCCCUGGGGAACUGGCACCCUUGGGGCCCCACCCAGAGUGAUGGUUCUGGCCGAUUUGUGAUGUUGUUAGCUGCCUGUGAGGGGUGCAGAGAUAAUAUCCCAGCACCAUUUCCAGUUGUAA